rnacentral:tRNA from 1 species
UUGUUGGUGGGGUGGGUCGGGUCGUCCAGCGCGUACUUACGGUUCGCGGCGAGCAGCCGGACCUUGCCGCUGCCCGGCUCGAUGCCGGCCAGCAGC